rnacentral:rRNA from 1 species
UUGAACGCUGGCGGCAGGCCUAACACAUGCGAGUCGAACGGUAACAGGAAGAAGCUUGCUUCUUUGCUGACGAGUGGCGGACGGGUGAGUAAUGUCUGGGAAACUGCCUGAUGGAGGGGGAUAACUACUGGAAACGGUAGCUAAUACCGCAUAACGUCGCAAGACCAAAGAGGGGGACCUUCGGGCCUCUUGCCAUCGGAUGUGCCCAGAUGGGAUUAGCUAGUAGGUGGGGUAACGGCUCACCUAGGCGACGAUCCCUAGCUGGUCUGAGAGGAUGACCAGCCACACUGGAACUGAGACACGGUCCAGACUCCUACGGGAGGCAGCAGUGGGGAAUAUUGCACAAUGGGCGCAAGCCUGAUGCAGCCAUGCCGCGUGUAUGAAGAAGGCCUUCGGGUUGUAAAGUACUUUCAGCGGGGAGGAAGGGAGUAAAGUUAAUACCUUUGCUCAUUGACGUUACCCGCAGAAGAAGCACCGGCUAACUCCGUG